UACGGAGGGAGCUAGCGUUGUUCGGAAUUACUGGGCGUAAAGCGCACGUAGGCGGCUUUGUAAGUUAGAGGUGAAAGCCCGGAGCUCAACUCCAGAACUGCCUUCGAUACUGGCGAUCUCGAGUUCGGGAGAGGUGAGUGGAACUGCGAGUGUAGAGGUGAAAUUCGUAGAUAUUCGCAAGAACACCAGUGGCGAAGGCGGCUCACUGGCCCGAUACUGACGCUGAGGUGCGAAAGCGUGGGGAGCAAACAGG
rnacentral:rRNA from 1 species